rnacentral:misc_RNA from 1 species
GGAGCAGCAGAUGAUUCAACCAACCUAAGCUCAUCAGUGGUGGUUAUAGUAACCAAGUCACCUUCUUGAUCCCUAUACUUGAUCAAUGCACCCUUCAAGUUUGGGAAUCGAUCGAGAACAAUGUCCCUAACAAGUCUAAUACUGCAAUCCACUGGUAACUGCGCCCAUCUAAUAUCCUCCUCAAAUACCAAUUUGACUGUUCUUGUCACUAUCUUUUCUUCCUUAACACUUUUUUUCUCCUCCACAACCACCUUUUCCUCAACUUUCUUUCUGUCAAAUUUGUUACUCUUCUUCUUUUUAGACUUCACUACAACCUUAGUAGAAACCGGAGGCUCAACAACUACUUCCGAUUCUUCAAUUUUUACCCCUUUCUGUUCCAACGCCCCUGCAAUAUCAAGCGCAGUCAAAU